UGUUAACCCUUUAGGUAGUAACUAAACCAAUAUAUAAUGGCGGUCUUUUUAUUCUAGAGAAACUCGCUUUAUAAUCGUAAAUACCCGUUAAUUUUAACUUUAUUUAAUUAGCCUAUAUACCGCCGUUUAGAGUUUACUAUAAUUAUACAACUCAUAUUAUAUUUAUUAAUAAAAAUCAGGUCAAGGUGUAGCCAAUAAUAAAGAAAAAGUAAGUUACAUUAAAAAUGAUUUAAGGAUACAAUAUAAUAAUAAAGUGGAAAAAGAAUUUAGACGUACGUAAUCAUUAAAAUUUAUUACUGAAAUAAUAAUAAAAGAUGC
rnacentral:rRNA from 1 species